GUGUUGAUAAGAAAGAAUAAAUAGUUCUAUACACUAUACACAUAUUGAAAAUAAUGUUUUUUUUUCGUCUUUUGGAAGAGAAAAAGGAAAUAUUUUUCAGUUUUGACCAUAAACAUUGUUUUCUACUGUACAUUUGGU
ensembl:snoRNA Y119C1B.13 ncRNA